AUUGAACGCUGGCGGCAGGCCUAACACAUGCAAGUCGAACGGUAACAGGAAGCAGCUUGCUGCUUUGCUGACGAGUGGCGGACGGGUGAGUAAUGUCUGGGAAACUGCCUGGUGGAGGGGGAUAACUACUGGAAACGGUAGCUAAUACCGCAUAACGUCGCAAGACCAAAGAGGGGGACCUUCGGGCCUCUUGCCAUCGGAUGUGCCCAGAUGGGAUUAGCUAGUAGGUGGGGUAACGGCUCACCUAGGCGACGAUCCCUAGCUGGUCUGAGAGGAUGACCAGCCACACUGGAACUGAGACACGGUCCAGACUCCUACGGGAGGCAGCAGUGGGGAAUAUUGCACAAUGGGCGCAAGCCUGAUGCAGCCAUGCCGCGUGUAUGAAGAAGGCCUUCGGGUUGUAAAGUACUUUCAGCGGGGAGGAAGGGAGUAAAGUUAAUACCUUUGCUCAUUGACGUUACCCGCAGAAGAAGCACCGGCUAACUCCGUG
rnacentral:rRNA from 1 species